UACGGAGGGCGCGAGCGUUGUCCGGAAUCACUGGGCGUAAAGGGCGCGUAGGCGGCCCUGGUAAGUCUGCGGUGAAAGCCCGGGGCUCAACCCCGGGUCGGCCGCGGGUACUGCCGGGCUGGAGUGCCGUAGGGGCAGGCGGAAUUCCGGGUGUAGCGGUGGAAUGCGUAGAGAUCCGGAAGAACACCGGUGGCGAAGGCGGCCUGCUGGGCGGCGACUGACGCUGAGGCGCGAAAGUGUGGGGAGCGAACAGG
rnacentral:rRNA from 1 species